rnacentral:rRNA from 1 species
UACAGAGGGGGCAAGCGUUGUUCGGAAUUAUUGGGCGUAAAGGGUUCGUAGGUGGCCGGCUAAGUCAGACGUGAAAUCCCUCAGCUUAACUGGGGAACUGCGUCUGAGACUGGUCGGCUUGAGUGCAGGAGAGGAACGCGGAAUUCCAGGUGUAGCGGUGAAAUGCGUAGAUAUCUGGAGGAACACCGGUGGCGAAGGCGGCGUUCUGGACUGCUACUGACACUGAGGAACGAAAGCCAGGGGAGCAAACGGG